GAUGAACGCUGGCGGCGUGCCUAAUACAUGCAAGUCGAGCGAACGGACGAGAAGCUUGCUUCUCUGAUGUUAGCGGCGGACGGGUGAGUAACACGUGGAUAACCUACCUAUAAGACUGGGAUAACUUCGGGAAACCGGAGCUAAUACCGGAUAAUAUUUUGAACCGCAUGAUUCAAAAGUGAAAGACGGUCUUGCUGUCACUUAUAGAUGGAUCCGCUCUGCAUUAGCUAGUUGGUAAGGUAACGGCUUACCAAGGCAACGAUGCAUAGCCGACCUGAGAGGGUGAUCGGCCACACUGGAACUGAGACACGUUCCAGACUCCUACGGGAGGCAGCAGUAGGGAAUCUUCCGCAAUGGGCGAAAGCCUGACGGAGCAACGCCGCGUGAGUGAUGAAGGUCUUCGGAUCGUAAAACUCUGUUAUUAGGGAAGAACAUAUGUGUAAGUAACUGUGCACAUCUUGACGGUACCUAAUCAGAAAGCCACGGCUAACUACGUG
rnacentral:rRNA from 1 species